UCUGCUCAGGAUGAACGCUGGCCGGCGUGCCUUAAUACAUGCAAGUCGAGCGAACGGACGAGAAGCUUGCUUCUCUGAUGUUAGCGGCGGACGGGUGAGUAACACGUGGAUAACCUACCUAUAAGACUGGGAUAACUUCGGGAAACCGGAGCUAAUACCGGAUAAUAUUUUGAACCGCAUGGUUCAAAAGUGAAAGACGGUCUUGCUGUCACUUAUAGAUGGAUCCGCGCUGCAUUAGCUAGUUGGUAAGGUAACGGCUUACCAAGGCAACGAUGCAUAGCCGACCUGAGAGGGUGAUCGGCCACACUGGAACUGAGACACGGUCCAGACUCCUACGGGAGGCAGCAGUAGGGAAUCUUCCGCAAUGGGCGAAAGCCUGACGGAGCAACGCCGCGUGAGUGAUGAAGGUCUUCGGAUCGUAAAACUCUGUUAUUAGGGAAGAACAUAUGUGUAAGUAACUGUGCACAUCUUGACGGUACCUAAUCAGAAAGCCACGGCUAACUACGUGCCAGCAGCCGCGGUAAUACGUAGGUGGCAAGCGUUAUCCGGAAUUAUUGGGCGUAAAGCGCGCGUAGGCGGUUUUUUAAGUCUGAUGUGAAAGCCCACGGCUCAACCGUGGAGGGUCAUUGGAAACUGGAAAACUUGAGUGCAGAAGAGGAAAGUGGAAUUCCAUGUGUAGCGGUGAAAUGCGCAGAGAUAUGGAGGAACACCAGUGGCGAAGGCGACUUUCUGGUCUGUAACUGACGCUGAUGUGCGAAAGCGUGGGGAUCAAACAGGAUUAGAUACCCUGGUAGUCCACGCCGUAAACGAUGAGUGCUAAGUGUUAGGGGGUUUCCGCCCCUUAGUGCUGCAGCUAACGCAUUAAGCACUCCGCCUGG
rnacentral:rRNA from 1 species